GCUGGGCAUGGUGGUGCGCGCCUGUAGUCCCAGCUACUCGGAGGCUGAGGUGGGAGGAUUGCUUGAGCCCAGGAGUUCUGGGCUGUAGUGCGCUAUGUGGAUAGGGUGUCUGCACUAAGUUUGGCAUCAAUAUGGUGACCUCCUGGGAGUGGGAGACCACCAGGUUGCCUAAGGAGGGGUGAAAUGGCCCAGGUCGGAAACGGAGCAGGUCAGAAACUCCUGUGCUGAUCAUGCCUGUGAAUAGCCACUGCACUCCAGCCUGGGCAACAUAACGAGACUCCAUCUCUU
ensembl:misc_RNA Metazoa_SRP Metazoan signal recognition particle RNA